rnacentral:rRNA from 1 species
GGCAGCGGAAAGUAGCCUGCCACUUUUGCCGGCGAAGCGGCGGACGGGUGAGUAAUGUCUGGGAACUGCCUGAUGGAGGGGGAUAACUACUGGAAACGGUAGCUAAUACCGCAUAACGUCGCAAGACCAAAGAGGGGGACCUUCGGGCCUCUUGCCAUCAGAUGUGCCCAGAUGGGAUUAGCUAGUAGGUGGGGUAACGGCUCACCUAGGCGACGAUCCCUAGCUGGUCUGAGAGGAUGACCAGCCACACUGGAACUGAGACACGGUCCAGACUCCUACGGGAGGCAGCAGUGGGGAAUAUUGCACAAUGGGCGCAAGCCUGAUGCAGCCAUGCCGCGUGUAUGAAGAAGGCCUUCGGGUUGUAAAGUACUUUCAGCGGGGAGGAAGGCGUUGAGGUUAAUAACCUCAGCGAUUGACGUUACCCGCAGAAGAGCACCCGUCUAACUCCGUGCCAGCAGCCGCGGUUAU